AUUGAUUGGUGCUUGCAUCAUGAUUUACAUUUGAGUGAGUGGCGAACUUGGUGAGUAACACGUGGGAAACCUGCCCAGAAGCGGGGGAUAACACCUGGAAACAGAUGCUAAUACCGCAUAACAACUUGGACCGCAUGGUCCGAGUUUGAAAGAUGGCUUCGGCUAUCACUUUUGGAUGGUCCCGCGGCGUAUUAGCUAGAUGGUGGGGUAACGGCUCACCAUGGCAAUGAUACGUAGCCGACCUGAGAGGGUAAUCGGCCACAUUGGGACUGAGACACGGCCCAAACUCCUACGGGAGGCAGCAGUAGGGAAUCUUCCACAAUGGACGAAAGUCUGAUGGAGCAACGCCGCGUGAGUGAAGAAGGGUUUCGGCUCGUAAAACUCUGUUGUUAAAGAAGAACAUAUCUGAGAGUAACUGUUCAGGUAUUGACGGUAUUUAACCAGAAAGCCACGGCUAACUACGUGCCAGCAGCCGCGGUAAUACGUAGGUGGCAAGCGUUGUCCGGAUUUAUUGGGCGUAAAGCGAGCGCAGGCGGUUUUUUAAGUCUGAUGUGAAAGCCUUCGGCUCAACCGAAGAAGUGCAUCGGAAACUGGGAAACUUGAGUGCAGAAGAGGACAGUGGAACUCCAUGUGUAGCGGUGAAAUGCGUAGAUAUAUGGAAGAACACCAGUGGCGAAAGCGGCUGUCUGGUCUGUAACUGACGCUGAGGCUCGAAAGUAUGGGUAGCAAACAGGAUUAGAUACCCUGGUAGUCCAUACCGUAACGAUGAAUGCUAAGUGUUGGAGGGUUUCCGCCCUUCAGUGCUGCAGCUAACGCAUUAGCAUCGCUGGGGAGUACG
rnacentral:rRNA from 2 species